rnacentral:lncRNA from 1 species
UGGCAAGGAGAAUGUGAUCAAAGCCGUGUGCAUGAAUUUGGACAAUCCUUGCAUGGGCUUGCAUGAUCAUGCACAAGGCCCAAAACCAAAGCCAAAUGCAAUCUGAAAUCAAACCAAGGUGAAAUGGACGUGUAAUUUGAAUGGCAAAUGCUUGUGCAUGGGAUUUUGAAGUGUUAUGCAUAAUUGAACCAAAAGCUUUUCCUCUUCGAAAA